GUAGGUGGCAAGCGUUGUCCGGAAUUAUUGGGCGUAAAGCGCGCGCAGGCGGUCUCUUAAGUCUGAUGUGAAAGCCCCCGGCUCAACCGGGGAGGGUCAUUGGAAACUGGGAGACUUGAGGACAGAAGAGGAGAGAGGAAUUCCAAGUGUAGCGGUGAAAUGCGUAGAUAUUUGGAGGAACACCAGUGGCGAAGGCGGCUCUCUGGUCUGUUACUGACGCUGAGGCGCGAAAGCGUGGGGAGCAAACAGGAUUAGAUACCCUGGUAGUCCACGCCGUAAACGAUGAGUGCUAAGUGUUAGGGGGUUUCCGCCCCUUAGUGCUGCAGUUAACGCAUUAAGCACUUCGCCUGGGGAGUACGACCGCAAGGUUG
rnacentral:rRNA from 1 species